AACAAGGUUUUGCUCAGUAGUGAAUAUGAUCUUUUCUAUCACUUACGGAAGCCUUUGCGCCCUGAAUUUCAGGCAGCUCCGCGACUUUCCAAAAAUAAUGGACUCCAGCGCAAGUCAAAAUUCGUUUUGGCAACACAACUAAAUUACGGGGAUGCCCUACAGCCAACCUACCCGGCGGUUACAUAUGACCUACCCGGGGGUUGCGCUCAGGGCAAUCCGAAGUACCUCGUUUGGUAUUCACAGACUAAAUGGUUGUGGGUUCGGCACACGCUGAGCUUAAGAUAUAGUCGGGCUUUGUAGCGCAAGCACAGGGAGUUCACCGUUCCGUAGGUGAACCUGCGGAAGGAUCAUUA
rnacentral:rRNA from 1 species